rnacentral:rRNA from 1 species
UACGUAGGGGGCAAGCGUUGUCCGGAAUUAUUGGGCGUAAAGCGCGCGUAGGUGGCCCUGUAAGUCCGUUGUGAAAGUCAAAGGCUCAACCUUUGAAAGCCGAUGGAUACUGCAGGGCUAGAGUACGGAAGAGGCGAGUGGAAUUCCUGGUGUAGCGGUGGAAUGCGCAGAUAUCAGGAGGAACACCAAUAGCGAAGGCAGCUCGCUGGGACGUUACUGACACUGAGGCGCGAAAGCGUGGGGAGCGAACAGG